UUACGGUCACAUCAUGCUGAAAACACUGGUUCCUGUACGAUCACGGAAGUUGAGCAACAUCGAGCCCUAGUCAGUAACUAGAUGGGUGACCGCUGAGGAAUACCAGGUACUGUAA
rnacentral:rRNA from 1 species